UUUCGCCGUCGUCGAGCGCUGGCAGCUGCGCCCGUGCCGUGUCCAACCACUGUCAUCGAGUAGAGCGCAGCUCGAGCUCACCCGUGAUGCUCCCGAACCUUCCCCUAGCCUAUAUAAGGCGUGCCCGACUUCCUCCACAGCUCACCCACUCCUCCCUCGCCUCAUUUGCGCACCGGAGUUCCUCAAUCUCGCCAUUCUUCUUGGACCACCGUAGCCCUCGCCGGAGUUCAUCUUGCUUCCCGCCGUCCUAGCCACUCCCUCCCCGUUCCGCCACCUCCACCCUCUUCCCCUUGUCCCUGAGGACCGCCCCACCCCCUCUCCCUCCCCGGGAACGUCCCGCAUCACCGGAGAGCCCCACCAUUGCCCGCCUCCUGUCAUCCUCCUGUCGCCAUCGCUCACCAUUGUACCAGGCCACCCCGGCGCCGGCUGACCUCGGGAACGGGUGCGGUAUGGCGCGGCGAACCCGCCGGUGCGCUCGGCCGGGCUGGAGCUGGCCUGAGCCGGCCGGCCGCCUCGUCGGUCUUCCCACCCCUGCCCUCCUCUGCCUCGUGCGAGGACGGAGGGAGGAAGAAGAUAACGACGUCGUUCAGCCCCUCCCCUGCCCCUGGGCCCACGCGCUAGUAUCACACCCCUCCAUCGCACGUGGGACCCGUUGGUGAUCAAAAUAUUCAUAGAUUCGUCCCUCCUGUUCAUCACCUCGUAUCUCCGCGGCCGUAACUCUGAUCGAGGUGAAACCAACACCCACUUCUUCGUCUCGUUAAGAUUUUUCCGUUGGUACAUUUUUCACUAUGUGGUCCCACAGUGAAAAUGACCAUUUUGCCCUUGCAUCUAAGCAGCCCCCUUCGAGAGAGAAGAACAUCCAGCCUUUCAUUCCACGGUUUCUCCGCACUUCUCCCCGGAGUCUCCGUCACCCCCAGGCAAGCCAAAACAACCACUUGAAUGAUAGACAUGCAGUAGCCAUGGUUUCUACUUGAAUAUUUAAUAAAAGUUUGCCCGUUAUCUACCUGCCUGUUUGCUACUACUGUCGUUGUUUCGGUUAUGCUCAUGUAUUCAUGUUCACCUUCAUGCUAUGUUUCGAUGCAUCUUGUUAUCUUGUACCUCUUGCUAGUAUUAUUGUUACAUGUCAUGCUUGGUAGUAGUACAUGCUGGUAGUAGUGAUGUUCCUUCUGGUGCAUGCUUAUAGUCUGUUAUCUAGUACCAUCGCAGGGCAUGUUCCUUUGCAUCUAGUUGGUUACAUGCUUACUUGGUAGCAUUCUUGUAUGUUCUUGCUUGGUAUUUAUUGUUUUUGAUGCUAGUGGUCAUGCUAUGCUCAUGUGUAUUGUUAUACUUAUGCUCGUCAGUAUGCCAUGCUCGUUUGGUUAAAUGCUUCAUUGUUGAUCUGCUUGAUGAUUAUGUUGCACAUCCAUGCUUAUGUUGAUAUCAUGCUCAUGCAUUAUAGUUGCAUCAUGUUAUGGCUUGGCAUACUGCAUUCAAGUUUAACUGGAUAAUAAUGAACUUGAACAACUGUUGGCUAGAAAAAUAGAGAAGGCUGGGAUUCGAUCCAGGGCCUCCUCGGUGGAGGUGCACAACGACGACCAGCUGGGCUGAGAUGUGAAGCUUACUCUGGUGAACUCAGUGAUUUCCUCUCUUGCAAUCUAUGUGAUGUGUUCCAUCAGGCUGCUGCCGAAAAUACUAGAUCACCUGGAUAAACUAAGGCGGUAUUGCCUUUGGGCAAAGAACACUGACGAUGGAUUGAAAGCUGUCUCCCUGGCAGCCUGGGAGUUAGUUUGCAGGCCCAAGCACAAGGGAGGGCUCGGGUGCUUGACUUGAGGAUCCAAAACCAGGGCCUACUGCUCAAACAGCUGCACAAAUUUUAUAACCGCAUGGACAUUCCAUGGGUUAAUCUUGUUUGGGACACCUACUAUGAAGGCUCGAUCCCGCAUGCUUCUACUCCAUGUGGAUCGUUCUGGUGGAAGACGUACUGAAUCUGGCACCAACAUACAGAGCAAUCACUUCAGUUGAGCUUGGGGAUGGGAGUUCAACACUGUUCUAGAAGGAUGCCUGGCAUGAUGAUAUACUUGCUGAUAGUCAUCCCCGUCUCUUCUCCUUCGCUAAGCACGAAGACAUCUCUGUCAAGUCACUCCUGACAUCGUCUACGCUUGGCCAAAAUUUCCAUCUGCCACUUUCGAUGCAAGCUAGAGAAGAGCUCGAUGACUUACAAACAUCCCUGGCUUCGGUGGAGCCCACGGAGGUUAACGAUGCCUGGCGGCUGAUUUGGGGUGCGGAGGAGCUCGCCUCCAGCAAAUACUAUCUGCACUGUUUUCGGGACAUGGAAGCGGACGAUGCGUUCACGUGGAUCUGGAAAUCUAAUUGCACCAACAAAUGGAAGGUUUUUGCAUGGCUACUUCUUGCGGAUAGGCUGAACACUCGGGGACUGCUCAAGAGGAAGCAGAUGAAGCUAAGGGAUGACAACUAUGCGUGCCUUCUGUGUCACAAUCCUCCAGAGGAAACGGUUGAACAUCUAUUCUUUCACUGUGAAUUUAGUCAAACAUGUUGGGGGAAGUUGGGGAUCACGUGGCCUCUCCAUGGCAACCGGGUGCAACUUUUGCAUGCAGCUAAAGGCACGUGGGGCAGACCAAUGUUCAUGGAUGUCUUCAUCAUCGCCUCCUGGACCAUUUGGAAGGAACGUAACAAUAAACUGUUCAGAAGUGUGGCGCCGACCGUCGAGGGGUGGACCCAGAGAUUCAAAAUGGACUUUGGCAUGAUGAGACACAUGACCAAUCAGGCCUUGGUGCCUUUCAUUGACCAAGUGGUUGACCUGAUCUAGCUGCAUAAACCUUGUACCUUUGUUGUAUAGGGAUACCCUGCCUCCUCUUGCCCCUAUGUAAUUUCUAUUCCUUGUAACUUUGUGUCUUGAAAUGUAAUACAAAAGUCAGUGGGGGGCUGCCCUCACUGUCCCAAGUUCUAAACAAAAA